AAACGGGUGCGGAACACGUACGCAAUCUGCCCUUUACCGGGGAAUAGCCUUCUGAAAAGGAGAUUAAAACCCCAUAAGAUUACGGAGUGGCAUCACUCAGUAAUUAAAAAUUUAUUGGUAGAGGAUGAGCGUGCGUCCUAUUAGCUAGUUGGUAAGGUAAUGGCUUACCAAGGCGAUGAUAGGUAGCUGGUGUGAGAGCACGACCAGCCACACGGGCACUGAGACACGGGCCCG
rnacentral:rRNA from 1 species